AACGCGAAGAACCUUACCUGGCCUUGACAUGUACGUAGUAGAAGGAUGAAAGUCUGACGAGGUAGCAAUACCAGCGUACACAGGUGCUGCAUGGCUGUCGUCAGCUCGUGCCGUGAGGUGUUCGGUUAAGUCCGGUAACGAGCGCAACCCCUAUGAUCUGUUGCCACCCCGAGAAAUCGGGAGCACUCUGGUCAGACUGCCCUGCAUAACGGGGAGGAAGGUGGGGAUGACGUCAAGUCAGUAUGGUCCUUACGGCCAGGGCUGCACACGUGCUACAAUGCCCAGUACAGAGGGAAGCCAACCCGCGAGGGGGAGCCAAUCCCAGAAAACUGGGCUCAGUUCAGAUUGAAGGCUGCAACUCGCCUUCAUGAAGCUGGAAUCGCUAGUAAUGGCGCAUCAGCUACGGCGCCGUGAAUACGUUCCCGGGCCUUGUACACACCGUAGUAC
rnacentral:rRNA from 1 species